UACGGGGGGAGCAAGCGUUGUUCGGAUUUACUGGGCGUAAAGCGCACGUAGGCGGUCUUUUAAGUCGGGGGUGAAAUCCUGGAGCUCAACUCCAGAACUGCCUUCGAUACUGGAAGACUUGAGUCCGGGAGAGGUGAGUGGAACUGCGAGUGUAGAGGUGAAAUUCGUAGAUAUUCGCAAGAACACCAGUGGCGAAGGCGGCUCACUGGCCCGGUACUGACGCUGAGGUGCGAAAGCGUGGGGAGCAAACAGG
rnacentral:rRNA from 1 species